rnacentral:sRNA from 1 species
AUCCUCGAUCUGCUGGGGGCAGAUGAAGUGAAUGUGGCUGUCGAAUCCGCCGGCGGUCAGGAUCUUGCCCUCGCCCGCGAUCACCUCGGUGCCCGGUCCGACGAUGAUGUCGACGCCCGGUUGCGUGUCGGGGUUGCCCGCCUUGCCGAUCUUGUGGAUGCGCCCGUCGCGCAGCCCGACAUCCGCCUUGUAGAUGCCCGUCCAGUCCAGGAUCAGCGCGUUGGUGAUGACCGUGUCGACCGCGCCUUCGGCCCGCGUCUUCUGCGACUGGCCCAUGCCGUCGCGGAU